AAAAAUUAGGAGAUACAAAACCUCGAGAUGAAUGAAAGGAUACGGAAAAGAUGGAAAGGAAAUAAGGAAGAGCCAAGUUAACCAUUUUCAUGUAUUUUGUAUUUUUGUAUUU
rnacentral:ribozyme from 12 species